rnacentral:rRNA from 1 species
GGGAAUUUUCCGCAAUGGGCGCAAGCCUGACGGAGCAAGACCGCGUGAGGGAAGAAGGUCUGUGGAUUGUAAACCCCUUUUGAUAGGGAAGAAGACAGUGACGGUACCUAUCGAAUCAGCCUCGGCUAACUCCGUGCCAGCAGCCGCGGUAAUACGGAGGAGGCAAGCGUUAUCCGGAAUUAUUGGGCGUAAAGAGUCCGUAGGUGGGUAACCAAGUCAGCUGUUAAAUAGUGAAGCUUAACUUCAUAGAGGCGGCUGAAACUGGUUGUCUAGAGUGUGGUAGGGGUAGAGGGAAUUUCCAGUGUAGCGGUGAAAUGCGUAGAUAUUGGAAAGAACACCGGUGGCGAAAGCGCUCUACUGGGCCUGCACUGACACUGAGGGACGAAAGCUAGGGGAGC